AUGGGAGGGAGCAUGUCAUGCUUCGGCGGCAGCGGCCGGGACUACGACGAGGCGUACGAGCAGCCGCGGCGGUCGUCCAGGAAGGUGCGGCCGAGCGACGAGGAUGGGCUGUGGUACGUCGGGGAGCGGGACGUCGACAGGAAGGCCACGGAGUUCAUCGCCAGGUUCCACGCCUCCGCCAGCUACGUCGAGGCUACCUAG
rnacentral:rRNA from 1 species